UUUUUGGUGGAUGACUCCAGCUCUGCUUUCGUAUCCCUCGAGCGUUUGGGGGUGCAAGCUGUAGGGCUGUGGCCAACAGGUGGGUCUACAUCCCCUUUCAGCAGCCCCAUCACCUCCGACGAGGAAUACCUGAGUCCCCCAGAGGAGUUCCCAGAGCCUGGGGAGACCUGGCCACGAACCCCCACCAUGAAGCCCAGUCCCAGCCAGAACCGCCGUUCUUCUGACACUGGCUCCAAGGCACCCCCCACCUUCAAGGUCUCACUUAUGGACCAGUCAGUAAGAGAAGGCCAAGAUGUCAUCAUGAGCAUCCGCGUGCAGGGGGAGCCCAAGCCUGUGGUCUCCUGGCUGAGAAACCGCCAGCCUGUGCGCCCAGACCAGCGGCGCUUUGCGGAGGAGGCUGAGGGUGGGCUGUGCCGGCUGCGGAUCCUGGCUGCAGAGCGUGGCGAUGCUGGUUUCUACACUUGCAAAGCGGUCAAUGAGUAUGGUGCUCGGCAGUGCGAGGCCCGCUUGGAGGUCCGAGGUGAGUACCUGAUUUCUCCAUGAAUGCCCACCUGGCCCUGGCCCCU
rnacentral:sRNA from 1 species